rnacentral:piRNA from 1 species
CCAGCCUGCAUGAUGUAAUCUCCAAA